rnacentral:rRNA from 1 species
CAGUAGCCACGGGAAUACGAAGGGUGCAAGCGUUAAUCGGAAUUACUGGGCGUAAAGCGUGCGCAGGCGGCUAUGCAAGACAGAUGUGAAAUCCCCGGGCUCAACCUGGGAACUGCAUUUGUGACUGCAUGGCUUGAGUACGGUAGAGGGGGAUGGAAUUCCGCGUGUAGCAGUGAAAUGCGUAGAUAUGCGGAGGAACACCUGUGGCGAAAGCGGCUCACUGGACAAUAACUGACGCUGAUGCACGAAAGCUAGGGGAGCAGACAGGAUUAGAUACCCGAGUAGUCCCUGUCUCUUAUAC